rnacentral:rRNA from 1 species
UACAGAGGGGGCAAGCGUUAUUCGGAAUUAUUGGGCGUAAAGGGCGCGUAGGCGGCUUUGCAAGUGGCGGGUGAAAUCCCUCGGCUUAACCGAGGAACUGCCUGCCAGACUGUGAGGCUUGAGACCGGGAGAGGUGAGUGGAAUUCCCAGUGUAGCGGUGAAAUGCGUAGAUAUCUGGAGGAACACCGGUGGCGAAGGCGGCAUCCUGGACCGACACUGACGCUGAGGCGCGAAAGCUAGGGUAGCAAACGGG